UACGAAGGGGGCUAGCGUUGCUCGGAAUGACUGGGCGUAAAGGGCGCGUAGGCGGAUCGGACAGUCAGGCGUGAAAUUCCUGGGCUUAACCUGGGGGCUGCGUUUGAGACGUUGGGUCUUGAGUUUGGAAGAGGGUCGUGGAAUUCCCAGUGUAGAGGUGAAAUUCGUAGAUAUUGGGAAGAACACCGGUGGCGAAGGCGGCGACCUGGUCCUGGACUGACGCUGAGGCGCGAAAGCGUGGGGAGCAAACAGG
rnacentral:rRNA from 1 species